CACGGAGGGGGCUAGCGUUGUUCGGAAUCACUGGGCGUAAAGGGCGCGUAGGCGGCCAAGUCAGUUAGAGGUGAAAGCCUGGGGCUUAACCUCAGAAUUGCCUUUAAUACUGCUUGGCUGGAGUUUGGUAGGGGAUAGUGGAAUUCCUAAUGUAGAGGUGAAAUUCGUAGAUAUUAGGAGGAACACCAGUGGCGAAGGCGACUGUCUGGGCCAAUACUGACGCUGAGGCGCGAAAGCGUGGGGAGCAAACAGG
rnacentral:rRNA from 1 species